UAAAGACCCAAUUGUUAACAAUGGUGUUUUAGGUGUGUGGCGUAUUACUCAGAGGAGUCGGGCUUAGAUCUGCAUUCCAUCCCAGCCUGCUGAGAAGAGCUCUCUCUUUUGCAAAGUCUUUUCUUCCUUCCUAUGCGAAAUGUUACUCAAUCUGAGAUUCUAGAUCAGUGUUUCUCAAGGUCAACGAGAAGCCAAAAAGAAGAAGGUCUUGCAGCUGGAGGAGAUAAAUACG